rnacentral:rRNA from 1 species
CACGUAGGCGGUAUUUUAGGCUUAUUAUAAAAUCCUAAGGAAGUACUUUUGAAUAUAAAAAGAACCAAAAUACUAGAGUUUCCACAAGUUUAUAUUAUUUCUGCGGGAGGACAAAAAAAUUUUGAUCGCAGAAGGACUUUCGAAGGUGAAGACAUUAUUCUAUUGGAAACUGACGCUGAGGUGCGAAAGCAUGGGUAUCGAACUGGAUUUGGAACCCAAGUAGUCCAUGCCGUAAACGAUGAAUAUUGAUUGUUGUAUAUAAUUGCAGCAAAUAGAGCAAACGUAAGAAAUAUUUCGCCUGGAGACUACAACAAAGUGUUGAA